rnacentral:piRNA from 1 species
GGAAAAACGACACCGACACGGGAG